GAGCCUUGACAAAGCAGGAGCCCUCCGUGGCGGUGCGUCGGUGUCGAGGCUCCAGUCUGACUAAUCCAGGGGGUCGACAAAACAGAUUCGGGACACUAUGCUACACGGAGGGCCUACCAGGAUGCAGAAACAGCAGACGGAGUCCAGGGAAAGCAGUGCGGCAUCCCAGCCUCAGGCCUGCCCGUACGGUGUUCGGAAAUACUAGGCUUUAGAAUUUCACCAUAUGAAUUUUGGGAGAGAGGAGCACAGUUCAGCCCAUAACUAACACACGAUAGCAAGACAAAUCUCUCCUCUGCCUUCUCCUUAUCAGACUACUCAACAUGAAGGCAAUAAGAAUGAAGACCUCUAUGUAUAAUAAUUGACUUCCACUUAAUAAAUACCUGAACAGAUGUUGAGUACAAGCUGAUCCACCUACGUUCAACCUGAGAGAGUCCACAUCCACAGACUGUUUCAUUUCCCUUUUUCAAUUUACAUAGAAGCAUAGAUUCUUGCUGGCAUAUACAAAUGCGCCAUUUAAGGCAAUCAAAAAUGGUUCCACAUCUCAUCUGAUUUCCACAAUUGUUGCUGUAACGAUGGACUACUGAGGAGAGAGACAAUUUCUCUGGCACAUCUUCCCACAUUUUAGCAACAUGUUCAUGGAGAGCCAAUAUUCAGUAAUUACAGCCCAAUUCCUCACAAUUUCACAAUUCGCUAACAAUAUGCAUUUUCACAAUGUAAAGCUGAUUUUCCUUUAACCAAAUCAAACAUGAAAAGAUAGCUGCAUGCAAUGGGCAAUCUAGAUCAUUAGAAGAUUGAUGUAAAAUUAGAGGACACUGAGACUGGAAUAGAUUGCAAACUUCAGGGAGCUCAGAAAACUUGUAAACUCUACAUUUUGAGGAAAUAUGUUGUCGAUGCUUUUGCAACUCUAUGCAGUAACUUAACAAAUAAAGCCUUAAAGUAAC
rnacentral:lncRNA from 1 species